rnacentral:lncRNA from 1 species
GUGCCACGCAUCUAGCUCGGAAUGUGCCAUAUUUGGCCCACUUUUGGCCCAGACCGCUACAGGGCUUCCUAGGCGCCCGCACUUGACAAAUUAUUGAUAUAUACACUAUAUAUGAUUAUUGCACGGGUUGGGGAUCAAAAGGGCGCGCUGGGCGAGUGGAUUCUGGGGGCCGGGUUUUGGGGGGGAAACUGAGGGGCGACCCCAAAUUGGCCCACCGGGCCGCGAGACGUUUUGGUCAUCCCUGCCGGCGAUUUGUCGAUUUCGAUACCCUAUAGAUGUCAUAUGAGGAUUGUUGCAACCGUCCGGGCAGGAUUGGGAGUGUUCUGGGUGCACAUCGCUCCUUAAAUGCUCAACAUGUUGUUUUGUUUGUCGUCUGCAGGCGCAUUCUGGCGUGCACUAAUCACCAAAGGACAAACAUCAACAGAUGCUAAAUGCGCAAACCAGUUAGCCUGAAGUCCGUCUGCUCCACACGCCAUAUCUCGCAUAGGCGGUGUUUUGUUCCUAGAUUUCAUGCCGUCGAGUUAUCUGCACACUAAGAUGUAAGCUAGAUAGCUUUGAGCCGAAUUGGCGGGGUCCUAGCAAGCUCGACAUGUGACAUUUUGACUUCGGUUCUCACUAACAUUCAUGUCCAGAAACUGUUCAGAGACCUUUAUGUAUGUCACAUGAUGCCAUUUCGAUGCUAUAGGGGCCUGUACUCAUGCAGUCCCCAGGCACUCGCCGGAGUGGCAUCCGCCGCACCGAGCCCGGCAGGGCCAGCCCUUGUUUGCCCAUUCAAGCUUGCAAAGCUAUCACUUACACGUAAAGGAUAAUUUAUAUGCAGCGAACCGGGUUGUCAGGCAGGCUUUCGAGAACCAGGGCGUGGGCCCUGCCAAAUAAUCGGGCGGGCGCGCAGGGUCAUUUUCGGGGACUGGUCGGGAAUCGCCCUCUUACUGGCCUCCCAGUCCUUGGAUAAUCCUAAUAUAAUAUAAGCAUGCAAAAUUAAAUCAGGCAGGCUCUGAAUCCGUGCGGGCCAGCCGCACGGGCAAGUGGGCCAAAUUGGGGUAGGCUGGCAAUUAGGCACAUUCCGAGCUACGCAGUGUAGACGGUUUUGGCCGGUUUUGGCGCAAAAAUGGGGGAAGCGUAGACGUUUUGGGGGGCUUGGGGGCUUACGCGUAGAUGCCGCGGUCAGGGUCAUCUACGCAUGUGUAGAUGCCAAGUGCCUGAGGGCAUCUACAAGAUACGAGCACUGGGCAGUGGUAGUACGGUCGGACGGUGAACCUGACACGACAGGCGUCGCAGGUAACGUAGCAGUUGCGGUCGCUGCUCAUGCUCACGCUUUUCUUUUUGCUUGUGCUAGCUCACUGGCCUCGGCUCUACAACGUCAUGUUCGCUUGUGCGUGUUGCGUUUUUGGGCUGAGCCCCCCCAGCGAAGCGUUCCAAGGGGGGGGGCGAAGCCCCCCAGGAACACCCCUGUCCGUGGCUCGAAGAAAAGCGCUACCUCUUCGUCAGUGGGGCGGCAGGGCAGGCGGCGGGGCAGGAGGCGGGGCAGGCGGCGGGGCAGGAGGCGGGGCAGGCGGCGGGGCAGGCGGAGGCGGCGGGGCCGGCAGAGGCGGGGUCCCGGGGCGCGGUGCACGUGCUGUGGCACUACCACUUCUCCGCCUUCCGCCGAAAGCGCUGGGCUGCGUUCAUCCAGCGCGACCGCGCGCUCCAC